CACGUAGGGUGCGAGCGUUGUCCGGAAUUAUUGGGCGUAAAGAGCUCGUAGGCGGUGUGUCGCGUCGGCCGUGAAAACCUGCAGCUUAACUGUGGGCUUGCGGUCGAUACGGGCAUCACUGGAGUUCGGCAGGGGAGACUGGAAUUCCUGGUGUAGCGGUGAAAUGCGCAGAUAUCAGGAGGAACACCGGUGGCGAAGGCGGGUCUCUGGACCACAACUGACGCUAAGGCGCGAAAGCUAGGGGAGCAAACAGG
rnacentral:rRNA from 1 species